rnacentral:rRNA from 1 species
UACGUAGGGUGCAAGCGUUGUCCGGAAUUAUUGGGCGUAAAGAGCUCGUAGGCGGUCUGUCGCGUCUGCUGUGAAAACUCAGGGCUUAACCCUGAGCUUGCAGUGGGUACGGGCAGACUAGAGUGCGGUAGGGGAGACUGGAAUUCCUGGUGUAGCGGUGAAAUGCGCAGAUAUCAGGAGGAACACCGGUGGCGAAGGCGGAUCUCUGGGCCGUAACUGACGCUGGAG